ACCGAGAUAGCUCAGUUGGUAGAGCAUAAUGCUCUUAAUCUCAGCAUUGUGGGUUCAAGCCCCAUGUUGGGUA